AAAACCCCAAAUUCUGCCGCAAAAACGUACUAUAAACAUUUGGUGGAUUCACUUCAUCGUUACUAUCCCUCACUUUCCAACUCCAUUUUUGCUUGCCUCACUCUGAUUUUCUCUGUCUUCUUCUCGCCUUUUUUUGAUGACAAAUUAGGGCUUUUUUAGGAAAAAAAGGUGUGACUUUUGAGUUAAUGGAGGCCGUGCCCGGUGUUACUUCCGCCGUGCGCAAUGGCGGGGUUUCUUUGCCGGCGAUGUCGGCUUCUGUCUCAUUUGAACCUUCCCGCGAGGAGUGGCGCGUUGUAUCUGAGCAAUUGGUUAGAAGCUCCACUAACGAGGAGUUGGAGCGCUCAACAGUAGGUCGAUCCGUUGAGAGAUUAAUAUACGAGGUGCAGGAUGGCAGAAGGUCUCUCGAUGUUGAUUUUUGCUCGAUUAUUAUAGAUGGGGGUCCGGACAACGAUAUUUUGCAGCAGAGACUUCACAAUCUAGUGGGAAAAAGGGAGGAUUUGCACAACAUGGAGCUUGAACUUCGAGCCCAAAUAUCUGCAAGAUCUGAAAUUGUGAGAUUGCAUAAUACAUUUGAUGGUCAGAUAAAAGAGCACAUGAAUGCGAAUGUCAAACUUCAGGAGCAACUGCAUGAAAAGGAACAUAAGAUACAUGAGUUGGAGAGAUGGAUGGAUGAAAAGGAAAGAGAAUUGCAUGCCAUUAAAUUGGACAAUGAAGCGGCGUGGGCCAAAGAGGGUCUUUUAAGGGAACAAAGCAAAGAGCUCCAAAGCUAUAUGAGAGAGAGGGAUAAUGUCGAAACGGAAAGAGCACAACAUAUCAAACAAAUUCAUGAUCUUCAGGAACAUAUUCAAGAAAAAGAGCGCCAGUUUCUUGAAUUGCAGGAACAGAAUAGGAUUGUGCAAGAAAGUGCAAGUUUUAAAGAUGAGCAGAUAAGGGAGGCACACACUUGGAUAUCUCGUGCUCAGGAAAUUGAUGCAUUGCAAACAUCUGCCAAUUACACUUUACAAUCUGAACUGAGAGAACGAACAGAACAGUAUAAUCAGUUGUGGCUUGGUUGUCAAAGACAGUUCGGGGAAAUGGAAAGGCUUCAUUUGCAUGUACAACAGCUCCAGCUUGAAAUGGCUGAUGCAAGAGAAAAGAGUGGAAGUCAAUCAGAUGUAUCUCACGUGUCCCAUGCAAAUUCAAACGAUGUGUCUCGACUUGAACAUGUCAAUGGUAUCCAGUCGGAGGUGAAUGAUAACAACUCACCCUCUGUAAACACUGGUAGCUUAGAAAAUGGCAAUUCUGAAACUUCUGGAGGGAGCACUCUCAUACUGAAUGACCAAGUUAAUAGUGUUGCAUUUGCUCCAUCAUCCCUAUUUGGUAUGCCGACCUACCUUCCAACUGCAUUGCACCCAUUUGUAAUGCUUCAAGAUGGCGUAUCCCAUCCAUCACAAGUCACACAGUCGUCGCCUUUUCAGUCAUUGCAAAACUGGCAAAGCCAACAGUCUCUUUCAGAUGGCGAACACAUUCCAACACACAACCACUAUCCUGAGCAAACUGAAGAAAAUUUGUCUAGGGCAGGUUCUCAUUUUCACCAUGAAGCAUUAGCAGUAAAUGAGCAUGUUCAUCAAACAAACUAUAUGGAUGCUUCCCAGCUAGAUGCUACUGAUUCUGUGGUUCCAUCACCAAAUGGAGAGGUAGAGGAAUUGUCAUCUCAGUUCCAUGAGGCGCUUAGAGUGGAUCGCCAUGUUAUUGACAAUGACACUAAGGAGAAGGAAGGCAAACCUGUAACUAGUCACAGUGUGGACUACAGAAAUGCAAAGAUGGAAAAUCCUAGUUUUACAGUCAAUGCAUCUUCACCAGAAGGACAAACUCGUGCUGUUAAUUUUAGUGAAACAACCUCAAGUACUGCCUUAAGUGAUGCUUCAAUCAUUGCCUUUGCUUCCAUGGGUCAGAAAAGUAAUAUAGCUGGAAAUCUUGGUGAAAGUUAUCAAUUGGAUGAAAGAGCAUUACUGGCUUCAAUAGCUCGUGCUAUAGGAUCUGGUGGCAGGACAAGAAUUAGUACGACUCUUCCAAAUAGACUUGGGAAAAUGCUUGCACCUCUUCAUUGGCAUGAUUAUAAAAAGAAACACGGGAAGCUUGAUGAUUUUGUUGCCAGUCAUCCUGAUUUAUUUUUGAUCGAGGGAGACUACAUUCAGCUUCGAGAAGGUGCACAGAAAACCAUAGCAGCCACAGCAACUGCUGCUAAAGUGGCCGCUGCUGCUGCAGCUGCUCCAUCUUCUCUUUCAUCACUGAUGCCUUCUGUAGCAGUCACUCCCAUGGCACAUUCCCACAGAUCGAAAAAGUUCUCAGCAAUGCAAAGUCAGAACUUGAACAGAAGCACCUUUCAUGUUGCUGGAGGAGUCUCGAAUGAUAUGUUGAGCAAAUCAAAUGAUCAUGCAGAACCGACGAGCUCUGUUACUAUGGGGUCUACCAUGUUGACAACUGGAAAUGGAAUGAGCCCUGACAGAAUUGGUCAUCCUCAAAGCAAAGGUCCAUUUCAGAGGACUGGCAUGAGCAUGGCUGGGCAAAAAUAGAGCAGGACAACUGGUGCUGCAUCAAUUCCCAGAAGAUAUGCAUUGUAAAGCAAUAUCCACCAUCGCCAGUGCUUCUUGCUGCUCCUCUCUCUCCCAGUGCAUUAUUUCUUCAUCCAAGAUACCGAAAUUAUAGUUGCAACCAUGUUCUGUCGUCUUUACCCAGGAGACAAUAUCUAAGCCCUCAUCAAAGCUUGGAUCCACCGAAUCCAAUUUUGCUGCCCCAAAAUCUCCAAUCUUGGGUUCAAAUUCCGAAUCCAGCAGAAUGUUGUCUGAUUUGACAUCCCUGUGAAUGAUUGGAGGUACACAGUCAUGGUGAAGAUACGACAAACCUUGAGCUAUUCCAAGAGCAAUACGGCAUCGCUGCUCCCAGCUCAAAGCUACGCGAGCAGAUCUUGAUGAGAAGAUGAUGGGGUACGGUGCCAAAAACGAGUUAAUAACGUGUAUAUGGCUGCAAGAAGGCAUACUGUCAAGAAAAAUGAUCCAAUUAUUAUACCCGCGAGGACUGGACCUCCUGGAUGUGCUUUCUUGUGACUUCUGCAGUUGCCGCCUUUCAUGGAUGCUAGACAGAGUCUUGGAUUUCCCAGAGUCGUUCUGGGAUCUGACUCCAAUGCCUUUGCCCAAACAGAUGGAAUUUGGCCUGAGAGUUGGUUAUAUGAUAUGUUCACAAAUCGAAGUGAUACCAUAUUGUCUGCUGAUGGUAACUCGCCUACGAAACUGUUGUUUGAGAUAUCAAGAGUCUGCAACAUUUUGAGAUUGCCAAUGCAUCCAGGGAUUUCUCCAGAAAACUUGUUAAUACUCAAGUUCAGACUCUCAAGAUUUUCUAUUCUACUCAGACUGCAAGGAAAAUGACCCCCAAGCAAAUUGUUCCCAAGCUGCAGCUCUAGCAGGUUUUUGCUACUAGAAAAAGCCUCUGGAAUCACUCCAGUUAAAUUGUUGUCUUGAAGCUGAAUGAUUGUCAUUGUUGAUGAAGAAGGAUCUGAAGCGGGACACCUCCUGCAAGUUGAUUCUUGCUGAGGUCUAGUAUGUCAAUUUUUGGACAACGACUCAACUCGGCAGGAAUUUCUCCUGUCAAUCUGUUUGAAGAAAUAUAUAGUUCUACAAGAUUUUGAAGCUCCCCAAAUUUCUUUGGUAUUGAGCCUGAAAACUUAUUCUCUGAAAGAUCAACCAAUGAGAGAUUGCUCCAGGAAGCAAAUACCAUUGGGAUGGUUCCUUCAAACAUGUUUCCUCGAAUAUUAAAAUAUUCAAUGCUGGAUGAAUUUCCCAUGUCAUUCGGUAUGCUUCCUUGCAAACGAUUGUUUUUGAGAGAGAAUCUAAUCAGGGACUUACAUUUGAUGAUUUCUGUGGGGAAACCGCCUGUAAAUUUGUUGUCAUCAAGGAUGAAGUGCCAAAGACGGCUGCCAGAGCAUGCAGCACUUGGAAUUUCUCCAGUGAACUGAUUUCCUUUAAGAUCCAAGAUAAAUAAACCAGGAAUAUUCUUGCCCAGAUCUGAUGGAAUCUCGCCUUCUAACUUGUUUAGAGACAAAAUAAGUUGUGUAAGGUUUGCCAACUUGGUAAUUCCAGGGGGUAUUCUGCCUGUCAUACGAUUACCAAGAAUGCUGAACACUUGAAGAGAUAUCAAACUGUCUAUGCAAUGUGGUAUAGGACCCUCAAUCUGAUUGUGAUUCAGCAUGAGAUACUCCAAAUUCCGUAGGCCACAAAUUUCAGGAGGAAUAAAUCCACUGAUGUUGUUUUCACGUAAUAUAAUAUCGACUAGAGAAGUGCAGUUUCCGAUUCCUGGUGGUAGAGGACCACUGAGCUUAUUUUUAUCGAGAUACAUGAUCUCCAAGUUCCUGAGAUAAGAAACUGAAGCUGGAAUAGGACCAGUCAAGUUGUUUAUAGAUAAGUCUAGGCGAACAAGCUGAUCCAAUUGCCUGAUGUCUUCAGGAAUCCUCCCACUAAAGCUGUUGUUCCAAAGCACGAGUCUCGUUAAAUUUCUGAGACUCCAGAAGGACAUAGGAAUUUGCCCUUCAAAUUUGUUGUGAUCCAAGGACAGUCUUUCAAGCUGCAUCAGCCCCUUGAAAAUAUCCUGCUCAAUCACUCCUCCAAGAUGGUUACUAGAUGCAUUCAGUACUAGGAGAUCAUGACAGUUGCUUAUGGAUGAUGGCAAGGGACCAUGGAAUGAAUUUUCAGGCAGCUGCAGUUCAAGAAGCGAGCAUCUGGACGGAAGAUCAGGCAAGGUUCCAUUUAAUUUAUUCAGAGUCAAGUAGAGAUAUCUCAGACUCUGAAUAGAAAACAGUUGACUUGGAAUUUGACCGCUCAGUGAAUUCUUCUCCAAUGAAAGAAAUUCAAGACGUUUGCAUUGCCCCACCUCAGCUGGAAUCAUGCCGGAUAGUUUGUUGCUGCCCAAGUUGAGAGCUAGAAGCUUCCCUGGUUUGAAAACAUAAGGUGGAAUUGGGCCUGACAGGUGAUUGCUGUUGAGAUUAACAUCGAUGAGCUGACUGCAGUUUCCAAGCACAGCAGGAAUGCUUCCACCGAAAUUGUUGCCACUGAGAUCAACAAGAACCAGAUGAGGAACCUCACACAGGAAUGAAUACGAAUCCUCUAGAACCCCACUGAGGCCGUAUCCCUUUAGCUCCAGUUUUUCCACGCGAAAAUCAGUUUCAUUUGAGUAGCAAGAAACACCAGGCCAGCUGCAGUGAGCAGAAGAUGAGGUGGUUUGGUUCCAUUGCAGGAGAGACUUUGAGGUUUCUGGCAGACUGUUACGGAAUUGGAGAAGCUGCAGCGCAGCUGGAGGCUGCGAAGCAGAUGGGAUUGGGACAAGGAACAGAAUAUAACCAAGAUACAGAAGAAGCAUUUGGUAAUCUUUUAUCAAUCUGCUUUUGAUUUAGAGAAUUCGAGUGCUGGGCUGUGUUUAGUUCUGUUGGAUUGUGUGUAUGUGUAUAUUGAUCAUGUGAUGAAGAACCAGCGAGUCUGAACAUGUUUGAUUUGUUUGGUUUUGAAUAUUUUAGAAAUGUUUGUGAGAGUGAUGUUGGUCCAA